CUGUGGUAAUGUAGCAUAAUCACUCGCCAUUUAAUUGAUGGAUAGUAUGAAUGGUUAAACGAAUAUCACACUGUCUUUAAUAAAAUACUCAUGAAAUUAAAAUAAUAGUUAAGAUGCUAUUUUAAACUGUAAGACGAAAAGACCCUAUAGAGCUUAACUACAUUUUCUUUUAAAAAAUAGAAAUAAAAAAAUUUUUUCUAUAAAGAAAAAGGUAGUUUAGUUGGGGCGACUAUCUUCUAUAAACAACGAAGACAAGCAAUGUUAAUAAUAAAUUUAUUGUAUAAUACAUCAAUUUAACAAUUAUGAAAAUAGGCUAUAAUGACCCAUUAAGAUUAAGUAAUAAACUUAAUGAUCAAUAAAUAAAAGCUACCUUAGGGAUAACAGGAUAAUUUUGUUUUAGAGAUCAAAUCGAAAACAAA
rnacentral:rRNA from 1 species